rnacentral:misc_RNA from 1 species
AACGCACAUUGCGCUCCUUGGUAUUCCGAGGAGCAUGCCUGUUGAGUAUCAGUUUAACUCUCACCUAAGAAAUGGCUAAGGUAAAACUUAGACUUCUCUAAGGUGGUCUUGGGCUAUGUCUAACUUUCGUUAGACUCGCCUUAAACUGAUUGUAACCCGGGCCUAGUCCGAACUUGAAGCGAUAAGUUUUCGAACUAAGAACUUCUUAAGUACGACUUAGUCAGGUUUCUUCAACUUAACUAAGAGGGAAACCUCUUGAUUCUUGAUCUCAAAUCAGGCAAGAUUACCCGCUGAACUUAA